CCUACGGGGGACAGCAGUAGGGCAUAUUGCUCAAUGGGGGAAACCCUGAAGCAGCAACGCCGCGUGGAUGAUGAAGGUUUUCGGAUUGUAAACUCCUUUUGUUAGAGAAGAUAAUGACGGUAUCUAACGAAUAAGCACCGGCUAACUCCGUGCCAGCAGCCGCGGUAAUACGGAGGGUGCAAGCGUUACUCGGAAUCAUUGGGCGUAAAGCGCGCGUAGGCGGGAUGGCAAGUCAGAUGUGAAAUCCCAUGGCUUAACCAUAGAACUGCAUUUGAAACUGUUAGUCUAGAGUAUGGGAGAGGUAGGUGGAAUUCUUGGUGUAGGGGUAAAAUCCGUAGAGAUCAGGAGGAAUA
rnacentral:rRNA from 1 species